rnacentral:tRNA from 2 species
GCGUCGGUACUCAAGUGGUCAACGAGGGCAGACUGUAAAUCUGCUGGCUUAGCCUUCGCAGGUUCGAAUCCUGCCCGGCGCA